CGAAUUUGUAAGCCUCAAUUUGUUGUUGCACAGCAAUCUAACAGCAUUCUCUGUUUUUCUGUGUUGCUUUUGGUGUGAGAAAGAAAGAAACACACGAGAAAAUGGAUGCACCGCCAGGGUAUCAAGAAAUGUCGAGUGUUGAGCAUAUUAAAAGGCGCCAUGAGGAGAAAGGCUGCCUCUAUGCUUGUUUGUUUACCCUGUGUUGCUGUUUCUGCUGCUAUGAGACUUGUGAAUGUUGUUUAGACAUACUUUGCUGUUCCUGCUCUUGAUAACAUGGAGAGGGGAGAGGAGAGAAAUAUUUCUCAUGAAUAAAUUAUGUAAUUGGUUUUUUAGGGAAGACAUAAACUUCUUCAAAUAAUUCCGUUUUCCCGGUGAAAAUGGAUGAAAUCCUCAAUUCCGUUUUAGAUUUGAGCUUAUAUAUGCAUCUGUAAUAUGUAAUAUGUAAUAUGUAUAUGAAUAUGAAGAUAUGGUGUGGGUACCUUUACUGAAGGAAUAAAUAUAUAGUGAUCAGUACAA